rnacentral:rRNA from 1 species
GACGAACGCUGGCGGCGUGCUUAACACAUGCAAGUCGAACGGAAAGGCCCUGCUUGCAGGGUACUCGAGUGGCGAACGGGUGAGUAACACGUGGGUGAUCUGCCCUGCACUUCGGGAUAAGCCUGGGAAACUGGGUCUAAUACCGGAUAGGAGCCAUUUUUAGUGUGAUGGUUGGAAAGUUUUUUCGGUGUAGGAUGAGCUCGCGGCCUAUCAGCUUGUUGGUGGGGUAAUGGCCUACCAAGGCGGCGACGGGUAGCCGGCCUGGGAGGGUGGACGGCCACAUUGGGACUGAGAUACGGCCCAGACUCCUACGGGAGGCAGCAGUGGGGAAUAUUGCACAAUGGGCGCAAGCCUGAUGCAGCGACGCUGCGUGGGGGAUGACGGCCUUCGGGUUGUAAACUCCUUUCGCUAGGGACGAAGCUUUUUGUGACGGUACCUAGAUAAGAAGCACCGGCUAACUACGUG